GGACCCGCACAAGUAGUGGAGCAUGUGGUUUAAUUCGAAGAUACGCGCAGAACCUUACCAACACUUGACAUGUUCGUCGCGACUUUAAGAGAUUAAAGUUUUCGGUUCGGCCGGACGAAACACAGGUGCUGCAUGGCUGUCGUCAGCUCGUGUCGUGAGAUGUUGGGUUAAGUCCCGCAACGAGCGCAACCCUCACUUUUAGUUGCCAUCAUUAAGUUGGGCACUCUGAAAGAACUGCCAGUGAUAAGCUGGAGGAAGGUGGGGAUGACGUCAAGUCCUCAUGGCCCUUACGUGUUGGGCUACACACGUGCUACAAUGGUAUCUACAACAGGAAGCAAGACGGCGACGUUAAGCAAAUCCUUAAAAGAUACCUCAGUUCGGAUUGCACUCUGCAACUCGAGUGCAUGAAGCUGGAAUUACUAGUAAUCGUGGAU
rnacentral:rRNA from 1 species